rnacentral:rRNA from 1 species
UACGUAGGGGGCUAGCGUUGUCCGGAUUUAUUGGGCGUAAAGAGCGUGUAGGCGGCUUUACAGGUCCGUUGUGAAAACUCGAGGCUCAACCUCGAGACGCCGGUGGAAACCGUAAGGCUAGAGUCCGGAAGAGGAGAGUGGAAUUCCUGGUGUAGCGGUGAAAUGCGCAGAUAUCAGGAGGAACACCCGUGGCGAAGGCGGCAUUCUGGACCGACAUUGACGCUGAGGAGCGAAAGCCAGGGGAGCAAACGGG